AAACUCUGUCUCUACUAAAAAUACAAAAAAAUGAGCCAGGCAUGGUGGCACUCACCUGUAGUCCCAGCUACUUGGGAGGCUGAGGCAGGAGAAUUGCUUGAACCUGGGAGGCAGAGGUUGCAGUGAGCCCAGAUUGCACCACUGCACCCCAGCCUGGUCAACAGAGGGAGACCCUUACUCAAAAAAAAAAAAAAAUCCAUGCUGUAUUUAGAAAGGAAACUAUAAUACCCUAAUUAUAGAUUUACUCUACUACUUAUCUUUUUUAUUCAUCUAAUUUCAAGUAAAUAUGUAAAAGGUAAAAUUGUUUUUCCAUCUACUACCUAAAAUCAUCUUGUAUAUCUUCAGUGCUAUGUAUUUUUCACAAUGGGAAGCAGUGAGAUAAAGAAGUAAAGAAAAUGGGAAGAGAAGCAACAAACAACUGCUUAAUUGAUAGUUCUUUGAAAGCAAGGGUAAACUGGCAGAAGAAAGGAGUUAAUGAACAGGAGAAAUGUUCAUUAAUAUGGUCUGUGUUUGAGACCAUAUAUGAAAGUGGGUUCUUAGGGAACAUUUAACGACGACAUCUUUCAAGAUCAAGUCUGGGAAGAAGAAAGGGACCAAUAGGAUGAAAAACCCCCAGUUGGCAGGAGUAGCAAUAACUUUACCAACAUUUGUAGGUUGUCAACAUAAAAUUACCAAGGUUAAGUAAAAGCUUAAAUAAGGCCGGGUGCAGUGGCUCACGCCUGUAAUCACAACUUUGGGAGGCCAGGGCAGGUGGAUCACAAGGUCAGGAGUUCGAGAUCAUCCUGGCUAACAUGGUGAAAUCCUGUUUCUACUAAAAUACAAAAAAAAAAAAAAAAAAAAAAAAAUUAGCCGGGCGUGGUGGUGCAUGCCUGUAGUACCAGCUACUCGGGAGGCUGAGGCACGGGAAUCACUUGAACCCAGGAGGUGGAGGUUGCAGUAAGCCCAGACUGCGCCACUGCAGUCCAGGCGUGGCGACAGAGUGAGACUCUGUCUAAAAAAAAACAACAACAAAGCUUAAAUAAAACCAGCAGCUACUUUUUGCUAUUUCUUUUAUAUAGUGAUACUCUUUCUUGUGAAUUUCCUCUUCCUCCUCUCCUUCUCCUCCUCCUCCUCCCCCUCCUCCUUCUUCUUAUUCUUCCUCUUCCUCCUCUUCCUCUUCCUCCUCUUCCUCUUCUUCCUCUUCCUCCUCUUCCUCUUCUUCCUCUUCCCCUUCCUCUUCUCCUUCUCCUCCUCCUCCUUCUCCUCUUCCUCCUUCUUAUUCUUCCUCUUCCUCUUCUUCCUCUUCCUCCUCUUCCUCCUCUACCUCCUCUACCUCUUCUUCCUCUUCCCCCUCCUCUUCUCCUUCUCCUCCUCCUCCUUCUUCUUCUUUCUCACUUUGUCACCCAGGCUGAGUGCAGUGGCAUGAUCACGGCUCACUGCAACCUCGACCUCCAGGGCUCAAGCCAUCCUCCUUCCUCAGCCUCCUGAGUAGCUGGGACUACAGGCGUGUGCCACCACGUCAGGCUAAUCUUUGUAGUUUUUGUAGAGAUAGGGUUUUGCCAUGUUGCCCAGGUUGGUCUCGAACUCCUGGACUCAAGUGAUCUGCCCGCCUCAGCCUCCCAAAGUGCUGGGAUUACAGGUGUGCACCACUGCUCCCAGCCUAUUUUUAUUUUAAAGAUAUUUAUUUUAGAUAGAUACUGAUGUCCUCCUCCCUUCACCCUGACACAUAGGCUCCUUUUCGUUGAAAAAUGAAAGUUUCAGGCAAGUUUCAGAAAAGUUUAUAGGCUGGGCAUGGUGGCUCAUGCCAGCACUUUGUGAGGCCAAGGUGGGCGGAUCGCCUGAGGUCAGGGGUUCAAGACCAGCCUGGCCAACAUGGCGAAACCGAUCUCUACUAAAAAUACAAAAAAAUUAGCCAGGCGUAGUGUUGGGCGCCUGUAAUCCCAGCUAUUCGGGAGGUUGAGGCAGGAGAAUCACUUGAAUCUGGGAGGUGGAAGUUGCAGUGAGCUGAGAUUGCUCCACUGCACUCCAGCCUGGGCGACAGAGCAAGAAUCCAUCUCAAAAAAAAAAAAAAAUAAUAAGAAGUUGUUUAUAGUGCCAUUGAUCAUAUCAGUGGGAAUAAUUAUACCAAUUAUUUUCAAAGUGUGGUCUGGGGGCCUCUGAGAACUUUUCAGGGAGUCUGCAAGGUCCAAACUAUUUUCAUAGUAGUACUAAGCUGUUACUUGCCUUCUUCACUCUCAUUCUUUCAUGAGUGUACGGUGGAAUUUUCCAGAGGCUACAUGAAGUGAGAUGAUGAUCUCAACUUCUUGGGAGGCUGAGGCAGGAGAAUCACUUGAACCCUGGAGACAGAGGUUGCAGUGAGCCAAGAUCACGCCAUUGCACUCCAGCCUGGGUGAUUGAGUGAGACUCUGUUUCAAAAAAAAAAAAAAAAAAAAAAAAAAAGUUAAAAAACUCCUUUUUUGGUCUAACACACUAAAAGUCAAGUUUUGAUAAUUUAUUUGAAGAACUAUUAGAUAAAUAUAGUAGCAGAGAACAAUGGGCUAGAAUAGAGUCCAGAAAGAGACAUAAAUAUUUAUGGAAGUUAUUUAUGGGAAUUUCAGUUUAUCAUAAAGGUGGUGUUUCUUUCUUUUCUUCUUUUUUUUGAGACCGAGUCUCGCUCUGUCGACCAGGCUAGAGUGCAGUGGCACACGAUCUCGGCUCACUGCAACCUCCGCCCUCCGCCUCCUGGAUUCACGCCAUUCUUCUGCCUCAGCCUCCCGAGUAGCUGGGACUACAGGCACCUACCACCAUGCCCGGCUAAUUUUUUUUUGUAUUUGUAGUAGAGACGGGGUUUCACUGUGUUAGCCAGGAUGGUCUCGAUCUCCUGACCUUGUGAUCUCCCCGCCUCAGCCUCCCAACGUGCUGGGAUUACAGGCAUGAACCACGGCGCCCUGUGUUUUUUUUUGAGAUGGAGUUAUGGAGUUUCAGUCUUCACCCAGGCUGGAGUGAAGUGGUGCGAUCUUGGCUUACUGCAACCUCCGUCCCCCAGGUUCAAGCAAUUCUCCUGCUUCAGCCUCCCGAAUAGCUGGGAUUAUAGGCGCCCACCACCAUGCCCGGCUAAUUUUUGUAUUUUUAGCAGAGACGGGGUUUCACCAUGUUGGCCAGGCUGGUCUCAAACUCCUGACCUCAGGUGAUCCACCCGUCUUGGCCUCCCAAAGUGCUAAGAUUACAGGCGUGAGCCACCGUGCCCCACCAAAGGUGGUGUUUCAAAUUAGCGAAGACAGUUCAAUAAAUGAUGUGGGGACUGACAACUGUUUCAGGACAGGAAUAAAAUGAUCUUGGUCUAUACUUCAGUCCUUAUACCCAAAUGAACUACAAGGGAAUUAAAACUUUAAACAUUAGGAAGAUAGAAGAAAACAUGGAAUGAGGAGGCAAGGUACUGUAUAAGCUCCAGAAACUAUAAAGGAAAUGACGGAUGAAUCUGACUAUGUAAAAAUAAAAACAAAAAAUCCUUCUACAUGGCAAAUAAAAUAAAUAGCAAAGUCAAAAUGCAACUGAUAUACCAAGAAAAACUAUUUGUGAUUUGGGGGUGAUGAAAGAUUGAUUUCUUUCAUCCAGAGCCCAUAUGCAAACCAAUCAGGAAAAGGCAAACAGACCAAAAGAAAAAUGGGCAAAGGCUACAGUCUGCUUUACAGAAAAAUAAAUGCAAAUGGACAAAGAACAUGAACCUAUACUCAACUGCAGCCAUAAUUAAAGAGAUACAAAUUAAGACAACACUGAAAAGCAUUUUUUUUUUUUUUUCUGAGACUGAGUCUUACUUUGUCGCCAAGGCUGGAGUGCAGUGGCUCGAUCUUGGCUCACUGCAACCUCUGCUGCCCGGGUUCAAGUGAUUCUCCUGCCUCAGCCUCCCAAGUAGCUGAGAUUACAGGCACCUGCCACCGUGCACGGCUAAUUUUUGUAUUUUUAGUAGAGACGGGGUUUCGCUAUCUUGGUCAGGCUGGUCUCGAACUCCUGACCUCAUGAUCCACUCGCCUCAGCCUCCUAAAGUGCUGGGAUUACAGGCGUGAGCCACUGCGCCCAGCCGAAAAGCAAUAUUGUUCAUCUGUUGGAUCUACAAGCAUAUUAAAGGGUGAUGCCUAGUGCUGGCUAAGAUGUAGGUAAACACACUAUUAUAGUAAAUUGAUAAAGUCUUGCUGGAGGACACUUGGCUGUAGCUAGUAAAAUAGAAGAAAUGUGUGAUAAUGCGUAGUAAUAGCAAAACUUAUGAAAUAACACACAACAAUAAUAUAUAUAUAUGUAUAUAUAUAUAACAAAAUAAAAAAAGAUACAUAUAUUUGACCUGGUAAUUCCACUGCUAGGAAUUCAUUCUCCAGAUAACCUGCAAAGGCUUGCCAAUAUGCACAUCCUGUGAGUGUGUUUAGAUGAGAGAGCUCUUGGCAAGGCUCAGUUGGUGGAGUCCCACUGUGACCCUCAGCUGACUAUGUUGUGUUAGUAAGACAGUGUGUAUAGAACAAUAACUAUGGUUAAGUGAAACCUCUGCUUGUUUUUCUUUUUGUUUUUUGUUUGAGAGGGAACCUCACUCUGUCACCCAGGCUGGAGGGCAGUGGUGUGAUCUUGGCUCACUGCAGCCUCUGCCUCCAGGGUUCAGGCAAUUUUCCUGCCUCAGGCUUCCUCAGGCGUAGCUGGGAUUACAGGCACGCACCACCUAGCCCCGGUUAAUUUUUGUAUUUUUUUAGUAGAGAUGUGGUUACACCAUGUUGGCUAGGCUGGUCUUAAACUCCUGACCUCGAGUGAUCUGCCUGCUUUGGCCUCCCAAAAUGCUGGGAAUACAGGCGUGAGGCACCGCACCCGACCUUCUGCUUAUUUUUCUAUAUUGAUCAUGUACCACUUUAGCUUAUGGAAUUGUGGCAAUACAAUUUCAGUUUGUACAUCUACUUUGAUUUGCUGUUUCUGCAUUCUUGUUUUAGCACUGUAUUAGAGGUAGUUUUUUCAAAAUUCAUGCCAACAUAAAUAGCUUCAUCCCCAGGAGAUGAUCAGUGCAAAAGUUUCAAUUACUCCUGUCACUUUUUUUUUUUUUUUUUGAUGGAGUCUCGCACUGUUGCCCAGGCUGGAUGCAGUGGCAUGAUCUCAGCUCACUGCAAGCUCUGCCUCCCGGGUUCAUGCCAUUCUCCUACCUCAGCCUCCCUAGUAGCUGGGACUACAGGCGCCCGCCACCAUGCCCAGCUAAUUUUUUGUAUUUGUAGUAGAGACGGGGUUUCACUGUGUUAGCCAGGAUGAUCUUGAUCUCCUGACCUCGUGAUCCGCCCGCCUCGGCCUCCCAAAGUGCUGGGAUUACAGGCGUGAGCCACCGCACCCGGCCUCUCCUGUCACUUUUAAAAAAGUUACUCCUCAUAUCUAUUGGCUGAGGAGAUGGAAGUGUUUCUGGGGAUUUGAGAUGCUAAGAUGAUGAUGUUUUAGGCCCACGGCCAUGGCACCUACUUUUGUUCUAUUCAGCCUACUGAGAGGUGACAGUGUGCUGGCAGCCCUCACAGCCCUCCCUCGCUCUCAGCGCUUCCUCUGCCUGGGCUCCCACUUUGGCGGCACUUGAGGAGCCCUUCAACCCGCUGCUGCACUGUGGGAGCCCCUUCCUGCGCUGGCUGAGGCAGGAGCUGGCUCCCUCAGCUUGCGGGGAGGUGUGGAGGAGAGGCGCGGGCAGGAACAGCAGCAGUGUGACUUCCGGGUGGGCGUGGGCUCGGUGGGCUGCACACUCAGAGCGGCCAGCUGGCUCCGCCGGCCCGGGGCAGUGAGGGGCUUAGCACCUGGGCCAGCAGCUGCUGUGCUUGACUUCUCGCCGGGCCUUAGCUGCCUCCCUGUGGGGCAGGGCUCGGGACCUGCAGCCCGCCAUGCCUGAGCCUCCCCCCGCCAUGGGCUCCUGCACUGCCGGAGCCUCCCCGACGAGCGCCGCCCCCUGCUCCAUGGCACCCAGUCCCAUCGACCACCCAAGGGCUGAGGAGUGCGAGUGCAUGGCGUGGGACUGGCAGGCAGCUCCACCUGCGGCCCCGGUGCAGGAUCCACGGGGUGAAGCCAGCUGGGCUCCUGAGUCUGGCGAGGACUUGGAGAACCUUUAUGUCUAGCUAAGGGAUUGUAAAUACACCAAUUGGCACUCUGUAUCUAGCUCAAGGUUUGUUAAACACACCAAUCAGCACCCUGUGUCUAGCUCAGGGUUUGUGAAUGCACCAAUGGACACUCUGUAUCUAGCUACUCUGGUGGGGACUUGGAGAACCUUUAUGUCUAGCUAAGGGAUUGUAAAUACACCAAUUGGCACUCUGUAUCUAGCUCAAGGUUUUUAAACACACCAAUCAGCACCCCGUGUCUAGCUCAGGGUUUGUGAAUGCACCAAUCGACACUCCGUAUCUAGCUAAUCUAGUGGGGACGUGGAGAACUUUUGAGUCUACCUCAGGGAUUAUAGAUGCACCAAUCAACACCCUGUCAAAACGGACCAAUCAGCGCUCUGUAAAACAGACCAAUCAGCUCUCAGUAAAAUGGACCAAUCAGCAGGAUGUGGGUGGGGCCAGAUAAGGGAAUAAAAGCAGGCUGCCGGACCCAGCAGUGGCAAGGCGCUUCGGUUGUCUUCCAUGAUGUGGACGCUUUGUUCUUUUGCUCUUUGCAAUAAAUCUUCCUGUUGCUUUCUUUGGGUCCACACUGCCUUUAUGAGCUGUAACACUCACCGUGAAGGUCUGAAGCUUUACUCUGGAAGCCAGUGAGACCAGGAACCCACCGGGAGGAAUGAACGACUCCAGACACACCGCCUUAAGAUCUGUGACACUCACCGCGAAGGUCUGCAGCUUCAUUCCUGAUCCAGCGAGACCAUGAACCCACCAGAAGGAAAAAACUCCGGACACAUCCGAACGUCUAGAAGAAACAAACUCCAGACACACCGCCUGUAAGAACUGUAACGGUCACCGCGAGGGUCCGCGGUUUCAUUCUUGAAGUCAGUGAGACCAAGAACCCACCAUUUCUGGACACACUACCAUGCCAGAGAUCCAGGGGCUGCAGCAUGCUGAAAGAAAACAGAAGCCUGUGGAGUGAGCCAAGAUCAACCAGGAAAUAAACCCUUUCCCUUGCGAUGUCUCUCCAGCGCCCUCUACUGACAAACCUGCUUUAGUGCCAGUUUGUAGAGAUAGAGUUUCAUUCUUUUGCCCAGGCUGGAGUGAAGUGGUGUGAUCUCGGCUCACUGCAACCUCCGUACCCCAGGUUCAAGUGAUUCUCCUGCCUCAGCCUCCUGAGUAGCUGGGAUUAUAGGUGCCCGAUACCACACCUGGCUAAUUAUUGUAUUUUUAGUAGAGACGAGGUUUUACCAUGUUGGCCAGGCUGGUGUCGAACUCCUUACCUCAAGUGAUCCACCCGCCUUGGCCUUUCAAAGUGCUAGGAUUAAA
rnacentral:lncRNA from 1 species